AAGAACACCGUACCACCACUCGAUGUAAUUAGCCAGGGGGAUCUAUCUCUUGUACUGUACGGAAUUGCUGCAAUACCGGAAGGUCUAUAUGAUGUCCUGCGUGGAAUUGAUUCAAUACUGG